rnacentral:lncRNA from 1 species
AUACUUUUACUUUCAUUUGCUGCUAAUUUUCAAUGUCGUAUUUUUAUAAUGUUUGGUUGUAUUUGGAAUCUUUAUACGAUAUGAAAAUGCAUCUUUCAUUAUUACUUGAAACGUAGAUACCGAUACCUUAUAAUGCGUUUUCAAUCCAAAGCUUGUAAACUGACAAGCUAAGAAUAAUGAGAUUCUAAUGCAUUUAAACAGUAAGUGAAAGAAAUGAUGCAUUACGCACAAUGUUUGACAUAUGGGAGUAAUACUCAAUUUUAAAAUGAUAAAUGGACUUAAAGUAAGUAAAGUAUAUCAAGGUCAUUAUUUCUUUUAGUCUACCAAAAAAUAUAAAUUAAGGAGAGCAACACGCUAUUCAAAAAUCCGGAGAACUUUUUAACAGAAAAAGAUGCAAAACGCGAAUAUUAACGCAGUCAAAUAAAUAAAAAUAUAGGUUUUAAUACCAAAAAUUAUUAUGAAAGAAAGUUUGCUCUGCUUGUUUAUCAAAUAAGCAAACAAACAGAGAUGCAAUAGGAAUCAAAACACAAAGAUACAACAACGGAAAGAGAGUUGAUUUUCCAAAUAUAAAUGAUACCAGGAAACGAGGAAUAAGGAGAUAGGGCAGAUCGAUAUCCACCUAUCUUAAAAUACUCGCUGUGGUAAAGUAGACCGAGAACUAACAGAUGGAGUGGAUCGUAAGCUUGGGUUAUAGUCGGGCACGUAAGAAGAUUGAAACUCGCCUUCUCCAGAACCCCUAAUGUAAAAUACUUGAGUAGUGCGAAGUCUGCCGGUAACCCAAGAAGCAAGGAUUUUACCCCUUUGCUUUUCUCGAAGCCGUGAACGGGGGAAAUUACCACGCGAAGUAAACGCUACGACAUCGGCAAUAAUUUGAUGCUCAUCGAGGAUACUGUUGAUCACUACUGGAACAAUGGCUGCCAAAAAAUCCUGACCUAGAGCCUCAAUAACGACAACAACUCUUCCAGCAGACUGAAAAACUGCAGUUCCUCCACGAGCGAUUCGAGGAUGAGAACGUUCAAUGGUGUCCUCAAUGUCAGAAGGAAAAUGACUUAAACCGUUGACUUCAAAAGUCUCUCCAAUGGGCCCUAAUACAUAGAGAAGUUGCAUGUCAACAACCGGUGCGUUGGGUCCCAUGGAAUGUGAAGUGAUUUGGAGAAAGCCCAAAUCACCAGUACGAACAUAUCCGUUACCAAGAAAUCCAUCAGAGUUAGUAGCAUUAAAUCUCAUCAUAUCUACUGGAUCUGUUGAUUGGAAAAAAGAGAUAGCAUUUGCACUCGAGCGCAUCCAGAUUUCACCAUACUCGCCAACUCUGCAUAGUUCACGAGUAUCAGGAUUAACUAUUGCAAGCUGAGUAGAAACUGGAACCAUUCCAGAAUCCAAUAAAGGAAGUGCAUAUGGCUUGUCUGCUGACUCGCAUGGUUGUAUUAAACCAUGCCUUAAAGCUCGCAAAUCGAGUAAUUGAGGUGUAGGAAUUGCACCCAUAUAUGAUCUUGUAGAUAUGAACGGAUUCAAACAAUUACUAUACACAGUGCUGAAAGCAUAAGGACUCAGACCAUGUUUCACAAAGUACUUCUGUAAACUAGCGAUAUAGAACGCACUUAUGCGACCGUCGUGAGGAAUCAUUAAAUUUUCAAGACAUGACAGAUUUGGCCAUUUAGUCGGUUGUUGGUUUUGAAUGUAAUUAAGAGUUUGAAAAGUAGCGUAAGUGUCUUUAAUCUUAUAUUUGGAUAUGAUUUGGAAUAAAAGUAAAGGGUUGUUGGCAAAAUCAACGGGUGAAAGAAGGUAGGUGGUUGUUCCCAAAAAGACUCCCAUUAAACAUGUAUGAAAAAAGCCAAUACCACUCAUACUCCUGACAUGUCCCAACAGAGGCCGUUUGUGGGUCAUUUGGCAUGUUUCUUUGUGUAUUUGGCAUAUAGAAAGUAACGUUUGAUGAUUGUAUGCCGUCAAAGUUAAACGAUGAUCAGGAGACCAAAAAGCCCAAACGAGAGCAGGGAAGGCAGGGUCUAAACAUAUCGGAUCUAACUUUACAUUCAACUCCUUGAUGCUUUUCGUUUGCUUACUAAUUUUUGAAGUCACGAUAAAAGAAGGCAGUACUACUUUGGCAGCCAUAGCCGACUGCUUCAAAUGUUGAGAUGUGGUUUUAGCACGAAGAGCUGUGUCAGCUUCGGAAUUGACCAAUACGGCACUAACAUAAUAAUGCUUUAUUAAAAACAAAAACGCGGGUACGUCUUCUGAAAGCCUCAUGUGAUCCAAUGGGGGUACGGGAAUAGGAAUCAAGCCUAAAUAAAAGCAAGCAUAUAAAGCAUAAACAAAAUCUUCUGAGUGAGUGUACAUUAAAACAACCACCCUACCAGGCUUUAUAUACUUUUUCUUUUGCAAAUAUCGAAUAAUAGUUGCAACUCUUUGAUCAAAUUUCCUCCAAGUAAUGUUUUUUCCUUCUCGAC